CAGUGGGGUAGAAGAGUGGGACAGACCUGCCUCUAAUCGGAAAGAAUUCCUUUCGCUUAUCAACGAGAACAGGACUUCCUGCAGACAGAUGAUAAAUGCAACUGGCUACGUCGUUGACAGUCACCCCAGCCUGACAGACAGAAAGACCGAAAGGAAAGGAUUCUGUUAAUAAUAAUGUUGGAACCAAAACGUGCUGCCUGGAGUUUGUUCACACCUUGCCUGAUCUUCAUUGACCCACAGAGAGCUGCACCUCUUUGUGAGGAUUUGAGGUGAAAAGACAUGGUGACGCCAGUAAAAACAAGAUCCACACAAAUAUGACGAAUCUGUGCAAAGAACCAAAAAUGUACAGUGCCAAAAAACAUCUUCUCACCCAUUACAGAAAAAAUCAAGAACAGUGCCAGAUGUAAUUGCUGCUCCCAAGGAGUAAUUUUUUUACUCUACUUUAUGCCUAGGAGAAUU
rnacentral:lncRNA from 1 species